CUUUUCUAAAAGCUAAUAUGUGAAUGCUGUUUAUUUAGACGUGACGCGUGUAAAGGCAGUCGAUUACGGUGGUAGGGCGCUCAACAAUGAAUGGUAUCCUCCUUAUAACUCUUACGGUUGUAGGAUUGUUUUCAACAGUUAAUGCAAACUGUGACCCCUCGAAAUGUGUUUCGUUCUUAGAGGCUAUUGACAAAUCCGAUCCUAAGCAGAUUUGUCCUGCUUUGAAGACCGUUUCAUUCUGCUUAAAGGAUUUGUUCGCAACUUGUCCGACUCUUGAAUCAGACAGUCGAACCAUCUUAGAGGGAGCCUUGGUUGACAUUAAUGAAAAAAUUAACAAUGCAUGCGUUGAAGUAUUUCCAACGACAGUUGAAAUAAAUACCAUGGCUGUCACUACUGCUAGACCUGCAUCAAAUGAAGUCCAGUCUGACGACGCGGUUGGAAUUGUAGGUGGGGUACUUGGUACCCUGCUUGGCAUCGCCUUAAUAGUCAUUGUAGUUUCAAAGUUCAAACGCACGAAAUCUGAUAAUGGCACCAAAUCUUCAAAGAUACAACCGGACGUCAGUCACCCUGAUCGCAACCCCAAGCCAGUGUUUGUCCAUUCUUAAUACACCAUACGUAAUGUUUUCAAAUGGCAUUUUAAUUCAAAAGUUUUGUCUACUAGAGAAUAGAACUGUAUUGUGUUUUCAAUAAACCUCGAUAUAUUUACUUCUGUAGUUUUUACUGGGUACAAAACCACUUUUAGGGAGCAAUAAUAUGUAAUUUUAUAAACUGCCCUGCUUCGCCGAACAAAUCAAUUCCAUACGAACUGGGCAGUGUGAUCCAUUGUCGGUUCACUUUUUACGGUUUUUUAAAAAUUUUAAUAUAAUUUAGUAAUAGUGCUAGUUCAGAUUAUGUUUCAGUUAAAACGUGGAGAGACAGGAACACCUAAACGCAACUUAUAUAUUAACCCAAAACUGCAUCAUGCAUUUAAACAAAGAUGAUUUUUAAUGUUGCUUGGCUCGAAUGAACUGGUACGUUUUAUUAGUCUACUGGAGAAGAAAAGUAAAACCCUACUUUAGUUCAUUGUAAUCAGAUAGUGUUUAAACAGAGGUACCAAAAAGUGGCCAAUUCUUUUCUUAAAAUAUUUCGGUAUAGGUUUUUAUGAGAGAUACUGGACCAGUAGUACAUAUACUGAAUAAGCUAUGAGAUUCUUGGCUGGGGUUACAGUCGGCGCUAGCUCAAAUAUUCUUAGAAAUUAUUUUAAAAUUAGUUUUACAAAUUAUGUGCAUAUAUUGCUUAAUAAACAUAGCUGUAAGAAUUUUUAAAUAUUGCCUGAAAUACGACAAUAUGAUUAAAAUACAGAUUUAUAUUUCGUUUCGUUUUUUUUUUAUAUUUUCAAUGGUCUCUACUACAUGAAGAUCUGACCAGUUGUAAUGGGAGGUCGCAUCAGAGGUCACACGAGCGGCUUUAGAUUUGAUUAACCAAUCAGCGCUGGUUACCCACAGUUCCGUGCAACUCACGCCAAACUUUCGCCGUUACAGUCGUUUCAUUGGCUAAUCCCUCACAUCAAUCAGAACGCAUGUUAUAUAACAACUCUUCCAGAUCCUAGUGUAGUAAAGACAAGUAAAACAAAAUUUUUAACUAUUAAAACGGAACGAAAUAGGAUCUGUGUUUUAAUCAGACUGAAUAUUAAUGCAUAAAGUUGUGUGUUUUAUAAUGUUAUACCUCUAUGGCCUUCAACGAUAUAAUAAAAUAAUUAUAUAA